AGACUUGGUCGUAGAGCCACGACCAACUUAAGAUGACGGGAAUCAAACCCGUCAGUCUAAACUAAAGAAAGCUCACUGAGA
rnacentral:sRNA from 12 species